rnacentral:rRNA from 1 species
GACGAACGCUGGCGGCGUGCUUAACACAUGCAAGUCGAACGAAGUGGCGAACGGGUGAGUAACGCGUAAUCAACCUGCCCUUCAGAGGGGGACAACAGUUGGAAACGACUGCUAAUACCGCAUACUGAAGGAGGGGAUUGCGGCUGAUUAGCUAGGUGGAGGGGUAACGGCCCACCAAGGCGAAGAUCAGUAGCCGGGCUGAGAGGAUGAACGGUCACAUUUGGACUGGGACACGGGCCAGAAUCCUACGGGGGGCAGGAGGGGGGAAUCUUCCGAAAUGGACGAAAGUCUGACGGAGCAAAGCCGCGGGAGUGAUGACGGCCUUCGGGUUGUAAAGCUCUGUUAAUCGGGACGCGGUACCGGAAUAGAAAGCCACGGCUAACUACGUGCCAGCAGCCGCGGUAAUAC